CCCUUUCUCCAUUAUCAAAUGUAAAAAAGCCUAAUUAUCCAUAGAUCCAUCUUCAUGAAUAUUCUAAAGGCUGCUUUCUUUCUGUAAUUUUCUAAAGCUUAAUUUGAGAUUAAUAGAAAAGUGAACCUUUCUGUACUUCUUCUUCUUCUGUGAUUUUGAGCUUGAAUUCCAUAGCUAUUGUAGCUAUGUCGGAAAGAGCAGAAAGUUCUCAAAAAGGAUUGGAUAUUUGUUUUUGUGGUUUUAACGCGAAAUUGAGAAUUUCAUUGUCCCGUAGAAAUCCAAGUCGAUGGUUUUAUGGGUGUAAAUUUGACAAAGAUUGAGGUGCUUGCGAGUACUUUAGAUGGUAUGACGAAGAUUUUUCCGAUCAAGGGAAGAGGACCAUUAAUGGUUUACUGAAAAGGGUCAAAGAAAAUGAUGCAAAAUUGGCUCGGGCAAGGAAGAAGUAAAUUUUUGUGUGUGUAGUUGUGUUCAUCGCAUGGAAUUGUUUGGUUGUUCCUUCAUUUUGUUGAAGAUGGUAGUAUGAAUGUUAGUUUUUGGUGGAUUUUAUGUACUGAUUAUGGGAAUGUUUUUGGGUGGAUUUAUGUUGAAGAUUGUUGUUCCUUUGUAUAUGUACUGAUUAUGGUUGUUCCUUUGUAUAUGUACUGAUUAUGGUUGUUCCUUUGUAUAUGUACUGCUUAAAUUUCAGUA